rnacentral:rRNA from 1 species
AUUUCUUACAGCUCUGAGCAAAAAUUCAAAAUGAAUCAAAACUUUCAACAACGGAUCUCUUGGUUCUGGCAUCGAUGAAGAACGCAGCGAAAUGCGAUAAGUAAUGUGAAUUGCAGAAUUCAGUGAAUCAUCGAAUCUUUGAACGCACAUUGCGCCCG